GCCCGAUUAGAGCGAGUGCACAGAGGCGUUGGGAUAACAUUAACAGCUGACCCGCCAACAUUCCAAGCCGAGACUGAGUCAGAUCUGGCUCUAGAGUCAGGUCUCGCUUCAGAGAGAACGUCAACGAGCGUCUCACGGAACUUUCCGUUCUCGACGGUGGAAGAAGGAUAACGGGCACAGCUGCACGUCUAAGAACCAAACACAUUUUUUAUUUUGUUGUGGGUUGACAUGCGCCAGAAAUUGUGAUCGGGAGCAUCGCAAGGUAGAAGACGACUGCUGUUUGCCGAAUAUCCCGCCGGAAAUUGUGAUCAUCGCAAGGUAGAAGACGACUGCUGUUUGCCGAAUAUCCGUAAGAGGCUAUCCCUGCACUAAUCCAAGACUAGUUAAACGUACUCUGGCCCAUUUGCGGAACUUGAUAAGCUUCUUGAGCAGUUGCAUGUCCUUUCCGAGGUAUUUCUCUAUCAUUUCAUUGUAAAAAUCAAAUUACUAGACUGAGGGUACAGAGGCGUUGAUAACAGCUUACCAUGCUGACCCGCCAAUAUUCCAAGCCGAGACUGGGUCAGACCUGGCUCUCGAGUCAGGUCUCGCUUCAGAGAGAACGUCAACGAGCGUCUCACGGAACAAAGAAAACUUUCCGUUCUCGACGGUGGAAGAAGGAUAACGGGCACAGCUGCACGUCUAAGAACCCAAUGCAUUUUUUAUUUUUUUGUGGGUUGACAUGGUGAACGGAUCUUUUUUUAUGAUAUUUGGUGUUUGUGAUGUUUUAUGGCCUCAUGUGAUCUCUGUGGUGACUGCCGCCGUUGUUAGCGCCGGAAAUUGUGAUCAUCGCAAGGUAGAAGACGACUGCUGUUUGCCGAAUAUCCGUAAGAGGCUAUCCCUGCUCUAAUCCAAGACUAGUUAAACAUACUCUGGCCCAUUUGCGGAACUUGAUAAGCUUCUUGAGCAGUUGC